CAAGGAAUUUUCCCCAAUGGGCGCAAGCCUGAGGGAGCAACGCCGCGUGCAGGACGACGGCCUUCGGGUUGUAAACUGCUUUUGCGUGGGACGAUAACGACGGUACCACGCGAAUCAGCCCCGGCUUACUCUGUGCCAGCAGCCGCGGUAAUACAGAGGGGGCAAGCGUUGUCCGGACUUACUGGGCGUAAAGCGCACGCAGGUGGUAACGCAAGUGGGGUGUGAAAGCCGCCAGCUCAACUGGCGGAGGCCAUCCCAAACUGCGUCACUUGAGGCCUGUAGGGGUAGAGGGAAUUUCCAGUGUAGCGGUGAAAUGCGUAGAGAUUGGAAAGAACACCAGUGGCGAAGGCGCUCUACUGGACCUGUACUGACACUAAGGGACGAAAGCUAGGGGAGCGAAAGGGAUUAGAUACCCCCGUAGUCC
rnacentral:rRNA from 1 species